rnacentral:rRNA from 1 species
AUUGAACGCUGGCGGCAGGCCUAACACAUGCAAGUCGAGCGAGCGGCGGACAGGUGAGUAAUGUCUGGGAAACUGCGUGUGGGAGGGGGAUAACUACUGGAAACGGUAGAUAAUACCGCAUACCAUCAGAUGUGUCCAGAUGGGAUGAGCUAGUAGGUGGGGUAACGGCUCACCUAGGCGACGAUCCCUAGCUGGUCUGAGAGGAUGACCAGCCACACUGGAACUGAGACACGGUCCAGACUCCUACGGGAGGCAGCAGUGGGGAAUAUUGCACAAUGGGCGCAAGCCUGAUGCAGCCAUGCCGCGUGUGUGAAGAAGGCCUUCGGGUUGUAAAGCACUUUCAGCGGGGAGGCGUUACCCGCAGAAGAAGCACCGGCUAACUCCGUGCCAGCAGCCGCGGUAAUAC